UUGAGUAAAUUAGAGUGUUCAAAGCAGCCUCUUGGGGGCUUUGAAUAGAUUUAGCAUGGGAUAAUAGAAUAGGAUUUGAUAAUCUAUUUGUUGGUUUGAAUUAAUCAAAUAAUGAUUAAUAGGGACAGUUGGGGGCAUUCAUAUUAAGUGGUUAGCGGUGAAAUGUGUGGACCCACUUAAGAUGAACUAAAGCGAAAGCAUUUGCCAAGGAUGUUUUCAUUAAUCAAGAACGAAAGUUAAGGGAUCGAAGACGAUUAGAUACCGUCGUAGUCUUGACUGUAAACUAUGCCGACCAGGGAUAUGAGUAGUAUAUUUCAAUUAAUUUCGGUUAAUUGAUACUUCUCCUUAUGCACCUUGUGAGAAAAUCAUAAGUUUUUGGGUUCUGGGGGAAGUAUGGUCGCAAGGCUGAAACUUAAAGGAAUUGACGGAGGGGC
rnacentral:rRNA from 1 species